CACGUAGGGGGCAAGCGUUGUCCGGAUUUAUUGGGCGUAAAGAGCUCGUAGGUGGUUCGGUAAGUCAGGUGUGAAAACUCCAGGCUCAACCUGGAGACGCCACUUGAUACUGCUGUGGCUAGAGUCCGGUAGGGGAGCAUGGAAUUCCUGGUGUAGCGGUGAAAUGCGCAGAUAUCAGGAGGAACACCAGUGGCGAAGGCGGUGCUCUGGGCCGGAACUGACGCUGAGGAGCGAAAGCGUGGGGAGCAAACAGG
rnacentral:rRNA from 1 species